UGAGGAAUAUUGGACAAUGGGUGGAAGCCUGAUCCAGCCAUCCCGCGUGAAGGAUGACGGUUCUAUGGAUUGUAAACUUCUUUUGUACAGGGAUAAACCUGCCCUCGUGAGGGCAGCUGAAGGUACUGUACGAAUAAGCACCGGCUAACUCCGUGCCAGCAGCCGCGGUAAUACGGAGGGUGCGAGCGUUAUCCGGAUUUAUUGGGUUUAAAGGGUCCGUAUGCGGGCCUGUAAGUCAGUGGUGAAAUCUCAUAGCUUAACUAUGAAACUGCCAUUGAUACUGCAGGCCUUGAGUAAAUUGGCAGUGGCUGGAAUAAGUAGUGUAGCGGUGAAAUGCAUAGAUAUUACUUAGAACACCGAUUGCGAAGGCAGGUCACUAAGAUUUAACUGACGCUGAUGGACGAAAGCGUGGGGA
rnacentral:rRNA from 1 species